AUUGAGUCUCACUCUGUCGCCCAGGCUGGAGUACAGUGGUGCUCUCUUGGUUCACUGCUUCCUCGCCCCCCACCCCAGGUUCAAGUGAUUCUCCUGCCUCAGCCUCCUGAGUAGCUGGGACUACAGGUGCCCACCACCACGUCCAGCUAAUUUUUGUAUUUUUAGUAGAGACAGGAUUUCACCCUGUUGGCCAGGCUGGUCUCAAACUUCUGACCUCCAGUGAUCCGCCCACCUCGGCCUCCCAAAGUGCUGGGAUUACAAGUGUGAGCCACCACACUUGGCCUGGAUUUCCUUCCUUUUUAAAGCUGAAUAAUAUUUCACUGUAUGUAUAGACCUCAUUUAUCCGUUCAUCUGACAUGGACACUUGGGAUGUUAAAUGAUAUUUUUGAGUACAACAUGGGCAAGGUUAGGGGCUGAAAGAGUUAAGUGGGAUUCGAAACUAGAGCAGCAACAGGAACCAAGGCUCAGGAGGGCAUUUUUGGUGGCCCUGCCUGGGUGAAGGAAGGGGCAUGCAUUCCACUGAGGUUGGCACAGAAAAGCUAGGAGUGGAUUGGGAGGACAUAGGUAGGCUGUGGGUAAGGGCAUGGGACCCUGAGGCAGGUCCUGUCCCAGAGCCUUCGUUUUCUUGGCAGAUGCAGGAGGGAGGCUCGAUGGAAGAGAGGCCUGGUGGCAACAGGGCAGCUGCAGCAUGAAGAUCCAGGUUUGGGGUCCACGCAGGGACCAUGAGCAGCACCCUCUGCUGGAGCAACUGGGGGAGCUGAGAGUGCCUGCAGGUGGACACCUGGCCGCACUGCGCAUGACUUCCUCCUACAGCUCCCAGGGGCUCCCACUGUAUUCAUAGUUUCUCCUUUUGUUUGCCCUGUCCUCUGAGCUGUUAUUCAACAGCUAGAAUUGUGCAGCAUUAAAACCAGUGCCGCAGAGAACUUUAAACAGAGACAGAUCCAAAUACGUCCUUCCUGAGAGCCAAUCUCCCUGGGAGCACCUCAUUGCCUCUCUUCUGGAGCCCAGCAGCUUAGCCCAGCUUGCACCUGUGACAUAUGAGUUAACUACAGCUGGUAGCCCUUGUGGACCAGAGCACGACUUUGAGGAGACAGAUGAUGGUGGAUUGGGCAGGCUAUUGAGCAGCUCUGAGCCUCGGUGUCUCCAUCUACCAAGAGGAAAUGAUGAUGGAGCUGUGGGGACACACGUGAGAGCAACACAGAGCUGCUAGAGAAAUCAUCUUAAGAGGUAAAUUGGCUCAUGUCAGACCUACACAUAAAACUUCUCAAGCUUUCAAAGGUACCAUAAGGAAUGGCUUUAGAACCAGGCAGAAUUGUCGUGAGACCUGGCUCUGCUGCUGAAAAGCCAGAAAACGUUUGAAUGGGAAUGGGAGAGGAGAGCAGAAAUGGGAAGGAAAAAGAAGAUUCCAGAGCAGUAACGUAAUUAAACAUUCUCAAUCCACAAAUGACUGCAAAGCAGGUAACUCCAGGUCUGCUGGGAAGCCAAGCUUGGGAGGUAUUUGCACCGAUGAAGAACUCUUUUUUUUUUUUGGAGUUGAAGGCUUUUAUUUUAUUUUAUUUAUUAUUAUUAUACUUUAAGUUUUAGGGUACAUGUGCACAAUGUGCAGGUUAGUUACAUAUGUUUACAUGUGCCAUGCUGGUGCGCUGCAUCCAUUAACUCGUCAUUUAGCAUUAGGUAUAUCUCCCAAUGCUAUCCCUCCCCCCUCCCCCCACCCCACAACAGUCCCCAGAGUGUGAUGUUCCCCUUCCUGUGUCCAUGUGUUCUCAUUCUUGCAGCAUCUCAUUGUUGAAUGGAUGAAUGAAUGGUGAAUGGAUAAAAAAAAGGAUAGGGGCCUGAAGAGGGAGUUCAGAGACCAAGUUCUAGCUCUAGAGUGAAUAGGCAAAGCUUCUCUGAGAAGAUGAACAUGAACUUCACCUUGAAAGAUUUGAGAGGGCAGAGGGCAAAAGGGAGGACACUGUUGGCCCAGGAGAUCCUGAACAAGGCUGGUCUGUGUGGGGAACAUCUACUAGACAGCUGUGGAAUCACGGGCAAGUCUAUUUUUCUGGAAUUUUCUGGAACCAGCGGCAAAUUUAUCUUUAUGGAACUUAUUUCCUUGGGGAUAAUUAUUCCUCAAAUGGGGGUAAUUAUUUCUGCACUCCCCGGGGGGAGGGGGGUGUUGUGGGAUCCGAUGUGAUAGUGACUCUGUGCACUUGUGAGCAUUAAAAGCUUCAGGCAAGAAUAAGAUUCUUCAUGUCCUUCCGCUCUAGCUUGCUUUGUAACUUUCUGUGUGUUUUCCAGAUAACCAGAGUCCUGAUGAUUAACUGCCGUCAGUGGAACUGCCUGUUUUUCCUCAAGUGGAUCUUUCCUUCUAUGCAAAAGCAGUUGAAGUGGGUGUCUGUACGCUGCGUCCUAGCCCUGUGCCGAUUUCCUAUUGAGGUAUUUGGUGAUAUAAAUUUCCCUUUAAGGAUGGUGUCAGGGAAGGUAGUGGAGUAGGAUGUGCCAGGAAUCUGUCUCUCCAACUGGACAAUAGUACAGCAGAAACUGUAAGAGGUAAGUGUUUUUGGACCUCUAGGGUUUAUUUGAAUGUUUGCCACUUCUGGGUGAAGACCUGGGCUAGUAAAUUGCAGCAAUUUUGGUCACUUUUAACCAACAGUACAGUGGCAGCUACCUAUUCUCCUUCCACUCCCAACCCUGUGGCAGCUGCUGAGGAAUGGCAACUUGUGGUUUUGGUGCUGCUUGUGUUAUCCACAGUAGGUAAUAAGGACUUUGUUCCCCAAAUAUUGGGGUUUUGUUUUAUGGUUUUGAAUUGUUGCUCUAAUGGAUGAGGUAUGGGCAUGGAGGCUGGAUGCCAUUGUUCUAACCUCCAUGGGCUGAAGUGUUUUCCAGGAUAUUGAAAGGUCUGAGCCUGUUCUUUGGACAAUCAAAGGCAACUCUGCAUACGGAGAACGUUAGAAAGUAAUUGCUUAUGCCCAGAAAAAGGCACAGAUGCAGUAAAAACCUGAUGAAAGCUUAAGCUUUUACUUUAAGCUGACCCAGGCAUAGAGCCAUGCUACAACAAUCAGAAAAAGAGCAAAAUCUGAAGGAGAAGAAUCUAAUUUCCAUAGUUAUUACAUUAUAAGAUUCAAACUUGCAGUUUACACCAAAAAAAAAAAAAAUCACAAAGAAACAGGAAAGUAUGGUCCACUUAAGGGAAAAAGAUAAGUUGACAAAAAUGUACCUGAGGAAGCCCAGAUAUCAGACUUACUAGACAAAGACUUUAAAACAGCUGUCUUAAAAAUGCUCCAAGAGCUAGUGGAGGAUAUGGAAAGAGCUCUAGGCACAGAAUUUUUUAUGUUAUUGAAGUUAAAUUGGUCUAAAGUCCAAUUAGAUUGUUAUAACUUUAGGAUGUUAAAGGUGAGCCCCAUGGUAACCACAAAGAAAAUACUGAAAACCAAAACAUUUCACUACAAAAAAUUAAAUAAUCACAAGACAGUAAUAAAUGAAGAACAAAAAGCUAUAUGGCAAAUAGUAAACAUAUGGCAAAAUGGCAGAAGUUUCUCCUUAUCAGUAAUUAUUUUAAAAUGCAAACGGAUUAAACCCCCUAAUACAAAGACAAAGACUUGCACAAUGACCCCCCUCCCUCACAAAAAUGAGAUGAUCUAAUUAUAUUCUGUCUACAAGAGACUUACUUUACAUCCAAAUACACAAGUAUGUUGAAAAUGAAAUGAUAGAAAAAGAUAUUUCAUGCACAUAGUAACUAAAAGAGAGCUGAAGCAGCUACACUAAUAUUAGACAAAAUAGGCCUAACUUCAAAAAAGUUCAGAGGACAAAGAAGGAUAUUAUAUAUUAAUAAAAAA